CUGUACUAGAUGGGGAAGUAGCGGUGCCCUGUAACCUGCAACCCGCUAUAGCAGGAUUGAAUUCCAUCUGGAGGCUACUACUUUGUGGAGCUGCCCGAAGCAAGUGGUGUUGACGCUUAGGUCCUAUGCAAUGUAAGCCCAUGAACCCUGUCAGAUCCGGAAGGAAGCAGCAGUAAGUGGUUACUGCAUGUGACGUGGGAGUGCCUAAGUUGAGCUAACUACUUUGGUAACGUCUGUGAAGUAUAGUCGAUAGAUGGUGUACAG
rfam:Clostridium bartlettii CAG:1329 genomic scaffold, scf20